GAUGAACGCUGGCGGCGUGCCUAAUACAUGCAAGUCGAGCGAACAGACGAGGAGCUUGCUCCUCUGACGUUAGCGGCGGACGGGUGAGUAACACGUGGAUAACCUACCUAUAAGACUGGGAUAACUUCGGGAAACCGGAGCUAAUACCGGAUAACAUGUUGAACCGCAUGGUUCAACAGUGAAAGACGGUCUUGCUGUCACUUAUAGAUGGAUCCGCGCCGCAUUAGCUAGUUGGUAAGGUAACGGCUUACCAAGGCAACGAUGCGUAGCCGACCUGAGAGGGUGAUCGGCCACACUGGAACUGAGACACGGUCCAGACUCGUACGGGAGGCAGCAGUAGGGAAUCUUCCGCAAUGGGCGAAAGCCUGACGGAGCAACGCCGCGUGAGUGAAGAAGGUCUUCGGAUCGUAAAACUCUGUUAUUAGGGAAGAACAAAUGUGUAAGUAACUAUGCACGUCUUGACGGUACCUAAUCAGAAAGCCACGGCUAACGACG
rnacentral:rRNA from 1 species